AAAAUUCUACCGUCAGUCUUUCUCUGAUCGCCCCGAUGAUUUAAUUUAAGCUACAACUUAACGCACUGUUUGUUCUGUAAUUCCCACGCGAAGUGAAUUUUCUUGGACAAUUCUAAUGCAGUUGAAAGUUGCACAAAUUAUAUAGAAAAUAGAAAAUAUAAAUAUUAUAAACGAGUUUGAAGUCAACAAUAACGAGUUAACGAAAAAUAAAUUAAUAAUUGAAAAAAUAUAUACUAAAUAACCAAUACGAAAUAAAAAUCAGAAAGAAGGAAAUAACGGCAGUGACCAAUAAAUAGAAACGUACGAUAUUUUAAGCAACACAACGUAGGGCAGUGAUUCAUGCCUGUGCUCGAAAUAGCCGAUUAGGAGGAAAAGAAGAUACACUAAAGAAAUUCGCUGGCGCACUUAUAAUAUUAUAUAUACUUUAGAUACUGCCGACCCACAAGUAACAAAACUUUUUCAUACAUACUAUGCGCAUACAAACAUACAGCGAUAUUUAUUAGAUGAAAAGUGCGAAAUUUGUUACCUACCGUGAUUAGCGCAAGAAAACAGAAAAUCAAAAGAAAAACAAAAGUUGAAAAGUAUAGCGAAAAUAAGAAUUUUUAGCAGCCAAACAAAUCUAUUAAACGGAUAAUCGACACAGAACUCACAACCCAACAAACAACGAACGGAAGAUCCGUAGAGUAUUCGAAAACGAUCUGGUGGGCCACAGAUAAAAAAAACAAAAACAACGACUAACGAAGCAUACAAAUAGAACGGUGCAGCGCAGGAAGAAGGCGGCACUACAACUACCAAUAGAUAGAUACAAACGACGUACGCGCACUACACAUUUGCACAUACCUACAAAUUUAUACAACUUUAUGCAUAUGUGUGUGUAAGAUCGAGAACCGAGAACUGCGAACGGAACGAGGCAAAAAUCUAUUUUUAUUUUUUCGUAAUACCCGAAGUUGGGCGCACAAAAAUUUCUAAACACCACGACAAUUAAAUGCAAAAACAAAUAAAGUGCAGAAAUAAAAUAAAUCGAAACGAAAAAGCGUGAUUGAAAGUAUUAAAAUUUUAAGAAAAAUUAUUAAAAAAAACUACAUAAUUUUUAUAUAUAUGUAUAUAUAUUAUAUAUAAACGACGCAUGUGCCUUUAUUAGCAACAGCCUACUAAACUUAAAACAGCAUUCAGAAACAGAAAAAAAAAUAAAAAUACGUAAUACAGCACAGUUCUCAGGCGUGUGGUCACUGUAUACUAAUUAAUGAUAAUUCAAAACAGCUAAAAUAUAAAGUUUAAAAAUACACUUUCAGAACUAUUGCGUUAGAAACCGAUUAUUCGUAUUUCUUCCGGUGCGAUUACGAUCAAAACGAACGAAACUAAAACGAUCUGCGAAUUAUUAAUACAAAAUAAAAAGCAACAAAAAUUCUGAACAUAUACGCUAACGAUCGACAAAAUCGGAGUAAGGAAGAAUUUGAUAAGACAGUCAAUUUCAAAUAAAA